UACGAAGGGGGCUAGCGUUGCUCGGAAUCACUGGGCGUAAAGGGUGCGUAGGUGGCUUGGUAAGUCGGAUGUGAAAUCCCGGGGCUCAACCCCGGAACUGCAUUCGAUACUGCCAGGCUGGAGUACUGGAGAGGAGAUUGGAAUUUACGGUGUAGCAGUGAAAUGCGUAGAUAUCGUAAGGAAGACCAGUGGCGAAGGCGGAUCUCUGGACAGUUACUGACA
rnacentral:rRNA from 1 species